CAAGUUAUAUUCCUAUAGCUUUAACCUCCUGGGCCACCCGUAUGAAAAAUAGGAAGCCCUGGCGAGGAAUAAUGAUCAUCAAGAUGAUAAAGUAUGGUAGGAUGCUGUGGAUCUGUGGGCCAGAGGAUCACUGUGGAUCAAGAGAAACAAACAUCUAGACAACGAGCACUGGAUGACAAAGGGAACGCUCUAACACUUUAUUGUACCAUUAAAAGAAUGUUACAUCCCGAUCUGAGGAAUAGAGGUCAAUUUGAGUUAGAUGUAGGAUCUUAAUUUGAGCUAGUUUGUUACUGCAGGAAAAUAGUCCUGCGGCAACAGGGAAUGUGAAUUAGAAUUGGAAAAAAAUUGUAGGGGUGAUUUUCGUACAGGAAUAUCAAAUCAAAUGUCAAAGAGAAAAUUAAACUUCAGAAGCCUUUUCAAUCCUUGAGUACACUACAAGUUUUACAUUUCCUGCAAUACGAUGAUCAAAUUAAGAUUCUACAUCUGUAAACUUAAAACAAUUUGCAAACUCAAUUACCAGUUGCAAAGUAAAUUGCUAAGCCUUAUAAAUUAUCAGGAUCAUAGACAAACCUAUGACACCAAUGACUACUACACUGACUGUUUACAUGCCACUAAUUAUUCAAUAUUAAGAUAAUUAGGGCAAUACUCUUGAGUUUGGGAUUAGUCAUGUCAACACCUUACUCGGAUUAAGGUCAUAAACGACGAAGUAAGCAUAUGCCGAUUAAAACACUUACACAGAUUUUUUUUUUUUGUUGCAAUUUUCCGAACUAUAAUGGCAUGUAAACACCUUAAUCUGAGUUUCAGUGGUGUAUUAAUGGCAUGUAAACACCUUAAUCUGAGUUUCAGUGGUGUAUUAAUGGCAUGUAAACACCUUAAUCUGAGUUUCAGUGGUGUAUUAAUGGCAUGUAAACACCUUAAUCGGAGUUCCAGUGGUGUAUUUGAUCUGCGCAUGUGCUAUCGCGAGCAGCGUGAGCCACCCUCUAUGGCACAAGUAAAGUGAGUUUGGAAAAUCUGAAAGUAUGCAUUUUAUGUCCAAACUUUGAAUCAAAUAGGCUUCCCAAAAAUUAGAUGAUAGAACGUUUAUUUUGAUUGGUGAUUUUCAGGUUGCCCGAUUAUGACCUGUCCAUGUAAACCGGAUUGUAGGGGGAAUCGUUCUCGCAAAGCACGUAAACAUGAAUCAAACUAUAAUAAGAGUAUUCACACUAAUAAAAUUGAAUGCAUAUGAACAUACCCUGUCACAUUGUAUAAGGAUCGGAGACAGGCGCAGGAAUAUGUAAUAGGGGGUUUUAUUACUCCACCCAAAAUACAACAUGUCAUGAAAAGGCACGGGGACAAAGCCCAAAACAAACAGGUAUAUAAAAUACACAGGGAUGUAACCCCCAAAAAAGAGCGAGGUUUAAACCUCUAAAUAUUACACGGGACAAGACCAGAAAUAACAAGUGCACAAUACGCGUAGCACGAACGCCAGCACAGGUACUCACUAGACUAACAGACAUGGGAACAAUAACCGACAAGGACAAUGGAGAACAGAGGGCACAUAUAAAAACAUACUAAUCAAGGGGAAUGGAACCAGGUGUGCGUAAUGAGACAAGACAGUCUGGGGUUGAUGAUAAUGAAUCCAGUUCAGUGACGCCUAGAAAGCCGGUGACGUAGAUCUCCAGAGCUGGUGCACUGAAUGAGCAGCAGUACCGGGGGAAUCAGUGACAUACCCAUUGUUACAUGAAAUACAGUAGUUUGCAAAAAGAUUUAACUUAAAGUUUGUGCUUAUAUAAAAAUAUGCAGUUGGUGUAGUGCAAUUGCUCAAACUAAAGCCGUGUGCCUUUUAAGCCUGCCCACACUUCUACUCUGCCAGUGUGUAUCUCUGUGUGUAUCUGUGCUUCCAUCUCUGUUCUUUAUUAAGCUAUGUAAGAACAAGUUUACUGCACUACUAGCAAACUUUACAAUGACAAUCUUAAGAUGAGUGAUGUGAUUGCAAGAUCACUGCCUUACCUUUCAUAGUCAAAGUGCUGUCUAAUUGGAACGUCAUUUUACAUGUUUAUUUCCUGCAGCUUAAACCAAUUUUGUGUUGAACGAAUGUACAAGUAUGUUUUAUGUAUAUAUUUCCUUAGAGACCACGGCCUCAGUUUUGUACAUGCAUUUUGUGAGUGUGAAGGCUGUCUUUUUAACAGAAUUGUAAAACUGUCACUCUUAGAACUUAGUAGUAAUAAAGCAUUGAUUUUAUUUUUAA
rnacentral:lncRNA from 1 species